AUUUGAGUAACAAAUGCCAACCUUAGGAAUCAAUGUGAUAAAAAAAUAUUAGGUGCCAAUUUGAGAAAAGUGCAAAGUUUAGGGGCAAAUCUAUAUAUUAAACCUUGAACAAAUCACUUGUGUUUUUUUUUCUUGUACAGCCCAAUUUUGCCUACUACCCAAACCUCAACCCACCUAAACACUAACCCAACACUCAUGACCCAAACAUCAGCCCAAAUAAAUUAAAACCCUAAUGGCCCAACAAGCCCAAAACCUAAACUAUUUUCAGCAAAAAAAAAAGAAGAACAAAAACCCUAGCCGCCGCUCCCUAUCCCUAGCUUCAGCCACCAACCCUCUGC
rnacentral:lncRNA from 1 species